rnacentral:rRNA from 1 species
UGCGCAGGUGGUUAAAUAAGUCAGUGGUGAAAGUCUGCCGCUUAACGGUAGGAUUGCCAUUGAUACUGUUUAACUUGAGUUUGGAUGAGGUAGGCGGAAUGAGUAGUGUAGCGGUGAAAUGCAUAGAUAUUACUCAGAACACCGAUUGCGAAGGCAGCUUACUAAUCCACAACUGACACUGAGGCACGAAAGCGUGGGGAUCAAACA